rnacentral:rRNA from 1 species
UACGUAGGGUGCGAGCGUUAAUCGGAAUUACUGGGCGUAAAGCGUGCGCAGGCGGUUUUGUAAGUCUGUCGUGAAAGCCCCGGGCUCAACCUGGGAAUUGCGAUGGAGACUGCAAGGCUUGAAUCUGGCAGAGGGGGGUAGAAUUCCACGUGUAGCAGUGAAAUGCGUAGAGAUGUGGAGGAACACCGAUGGCGAAGGCAGCCUCCUGGGCCAGCACUGACGCUCAUGCACGAAAGCGUGGGGAGCAAACAGG